UUGGAGGGCAAGUCUGGUGCCAGCAGCCGCGGUAAUUCCAGCUCCAAUAGCGUAUAUUAAAGUUGUUGCAGUUAAAAAGCUCGUAGUUGAAUUUCGGGAUCAAUUUAUCGGUCGUGCCUAUGGUAUGAACUGGUACAAUUGGUUUCUCCCUUCUGACGAAGCAUGAUGUCAUUAAUUUGGUGUCGUGGGGAAUCAGGACUGUUACUUUGAAAAAAUUAGAGUGUUUAAAGCAAGCAUUAGCUUGAAUACAUUAGCAUGGAAUAAUGAAAUAGGACGUUUGAUCCUAUUUCGUUGGUUUCUAGGAUCGACGUAAUGAUUAAUAGGGAUAGUUGGGGGCAUUAGUAUUCAAUUGUCAGAGGUGAAAUUCUUGGAUUUAUUGAAGACUAACUACUGCGAAAGCAUUUGCCAAGGAUGUUUUCAUUAAUCAAGAACGAAAGUUAGGGGAUCGAAGACGAUCAGAUACCGUCGUAGUCUUAACCAUAAACUAUGCCGACUAGGGAUCGGAUGAUGUUAAUUUGUUAAUGACUCAUUCGGCGCCUUACGGGAAAC
rnacentral:rRNA from 1 species